UGCAGACCCUGGAGAAAUAACUGAAUGUCCUACACCUCACUUUUUUCAUCAGUAAAAUGGGAUACUAGUAACAUCUUUUUCCUAAAGUUGGACUCUAUCACCUAGGCUAGACUGCAAUGGUGCAAUCAAUCAUGGCUCCCUGCAAUCUCGAACUCCUGGGCUCAAGCAAUUCUCCUGCUUCAUCAUCCUAAGAGAGCCUAGGACUACAGUUUCAGAUCUGCCACCAUCUAGCCGUGUGACCUUGGACAAGCCUCUUCAGUUCUCUGUAUUCUCCUCAGCUGUAAAAUGAAGGACUAAACUAUUCAAAUCAGUUCCAUAAGCAUUCAUCAGGCACCUUCUCGGAGUAAGACAUCAUGCUCAGCCACCUAUAAAAUUCUAUGAUCCUGAAUAGUAUCAAUGGGAAAAUAUCAGAGCAAAGCAAAAUAGUCUGUUUGUGGCAAGGUUGAAGAGAGAACCCAAAUAGCCGACUGCAUUACAUCAUCUCAAUGAGCAAUGUUUGUAAAUAUCCAAAGUGUUUAAUUUUGAGACACUCUUGAGAAAUCCUUUGCCAAUAAGAAAUUGGCAGAUAUGGUUCUAUUAACACCUAUCAGCCUUGAACCUUCCAAAAAUUAAACAUUUAAAGUCACUUUGCACCUUAGUCAAAUGGCGUGCUUCUGGAGAGAAAUCUGGGAAGAUCAAAGUUAUUAACACUCCCGAUGGCAACAGUUUAAGAAUAGGAUGUGUUAAAAAAAAAAAAAAAAAAAGACAUAUCUGGUUAAAACUGCAGGGGGGAUUCCAAGAGCAAAUGCAAUGCAUCUGGACAGGACAUGGAGGCCAGUGGCCUAUUGUUUACAAAAACAAGCCUGGAUUAUGAACAGUGACAAGAGGCCAAGACCUCAAUAAUAACUCACAACCACACCUCUCUCAAUCCCAGUUCAACUGAAGCUAUCAAUCAGUCAACUCCCCCAUCUCUGUAAUAAACCUACCAAUAUUUGCAGCCAAGUGGAUAGAAG
rnacentral:lncRNA from 1 species